UCCUCUUUUACUUCUCCAGUAAAACCACUAUUCCUUGUGUUAGUCUCAUUCUCUAUCUUUCUCGGCUUCUUCUUGCGCUAUUUCUGAUGCUCUGUAUGUCUCUUUCGAAUUUCCUCAUUAAUCCUAUUGAAAACUCGCUGGCAUUAAGAGCUAAUUCGUAUUCUACAUUUCAGGGGAGGUCAAUAUGGUAUUGAUGCUAAGGAAGGCAAGGAGUACACAAAUAUUGGGGGUUUGAACAGUUUGUAGCCUAUCUCACCAUGAAAGUCAUGAGAAAGUUGUGAUGCAUCCGGAAUGCAAGUUGUUGCUGGUGGAUUAUUGGGAUUGGCUAUAACAGCAAUUGCAUGCAAUCACGGGCUCCAAAUGUCAAGCAUGAAGUUAGAGAAGCUGUUGCAUUCCAUUGCUGCGACUAUACGAAGAAUCAAAAUAAUAGAUAGCUACCACCAUAUUUGUUUAUUACUUUGUUCUGAAUUCCCCUUCAAGACACUAUAUACAGUUAAGUGAUAAUCUGCUCAAGUAAUACUUGUGCAAGAGAACCAAUAUUGACGAAAGUCCCUUCCUCUAAUACAGGUAAUCUGAUCUUCAUUA